AAGCAAGUGAAUAUUAUAUAAAUAUAUUCUAUGAAAUUCUCAAAGAAAUGAUACUUGUUUCUUUGAGACAAGGUUUCCCUAGGUAGCUCUGGCUGUCCUCGAACUCACUCUGUAGAGCAGGCUGACCUUAAACUCAGAGAUCCCCCUGUCUCUGCCUCCUGAUCAAAGGUGGAUGCCACCACACUCAACUAAGAUACAAUAAAAUAUUUUUAAAGAUAGGCUAUAUACAUGUUAAAUGUUUAAUCCAUUUCAGUUAUUGUUAUAGGCAGUAAAAUAAUUUAAAGCAUUCCUGGGCUAAAUAGACGCUUCAUAGCAGAAAAUCAGGAUCUAAAUUGGUCCUCUGCUCAGUAACCAUCACUUUUUUCCUUACUCAUAUUCAAAUUGCCAAAUCCCUGCCAGGAGCAGUGUUAGUGAGUAAACCUGUCCACCCUCUUUGGCACACAAUGACAUGUGAUGGUUUCCAUGAGAACGGUCCCCAUAGGCUCCUAGAUUCAAAUACCUGGCCACCAUGAAGUGAUACUCUUUGAAAGGAUUAGGAGGUGUGACCUUGUUAGAGGAAGUGUAUCACAGGGGGUGGGCUUGGAGGUUUCAAAAUGCCCAUUUCAAGCCCAGAGUGUCUCUUCCUACUUCCUGCAGAUCAGAUGUGGAACUCUCAGAUACUUCUCCAGCGCCAUGUCUGCCUGAAAACGGCCAUGCUUCCCUCCAGGAUGACCGCUGACUUAAGUUGUUGAGACUUUAUUUAGAACCUGCUUUGGAGAGCUUAUGGAAUGGACACGCUUGUUUAAAUCUGUAACCAUGGUGACGCCCACCUGCAUCCCUGGCACCUGGAAGACUGAAGCCCAAGCCAGGAUGGGUGUGACCACACCUGUUGUGCUGGCAUCACAGUGCACACCGUUUCAUCUGGCCCACUGAGAUUUUGUAUUUAUUCUCAAAACCGUGGUGGUUUGAAGGAAAAUGACCCCCAAAGGGGAGUGGCACUAUUAGGAGGUGUGGCCCUGUUGAAGUAGAUAUGGGCUUGUUGGAGGAAGGCUUUGGGGUCUCAUAUAUGCUCAAGCCACACCCAGUAUCUCAGUUCACUUCCCGUUGUCUGCAUAUCAAGAUGUAAAACUCUCAGCUCCUUCUCCAGCACCAUGUCUGCCUGCACACUGCCAUGUCCCUCUAUAAUAAUGGACUGAACCUCUGAACUGUAAGCCACCCAAUUAAAUGUUUUUCUUUAUAAUCAUGGUAUCUCUUCACAGCAAUAGAAACCCUAACUCCUUUAGGGUU